UAACUGACGCUGAGGCACGAAAGCGUGGGUAGCAAACAGGAUUAGAUACCCUGGUAGUCCACGCUGUAAACGAUGAUUACUAGGUGUGGGGGGUCUGACCCCUUCCGUGCCGGAGUUAACACAAUAAGUAAUCCACCUGGGGAGUACGACCGCAAGGUUGAAACUCAAAGGAAUUGACGGGGGCCCGCACAAGCAGUGGAGUAUGUGGUUUAAUUCGAAGCAACGCGAAGAACCUUACCAGGUCUUGACAUCGAGUGACGAAUCUAGAGAUAGAUUUUUCCUUCGGGACACGAAGACAGGUGGUGCAUGGUUGUCGUCAGCUCGUGUCGUGAGAUGUUGGGUUAAGUCCCGCAACGAGCGCAACCCUUGCUAUUAGUUGCUACGCAAGAGCACUCUAAUAGGACUGCCGUUGACAAAACGGAGGAAGGUGGGGACGACGUCAAAUCAUCAUGCCCCUUAUGACCUGGGCUACACACGUACUACAAUGGAUGUUAACAGAGGGAAGCAAAAUAGCGAUAUGGAGCAAACCCCUAAAAGCAUUCCCAGUUCAGAUUGCAGGCUGCAACUCGCCUGUAUGAAGUUGGAAUUGCUAGUAAUCGCG
rnacentral:rRNA from 1 species